UACGAGGGGUCCUAGCGUUGUUCGGAAUCAUUGGGCGUAAAGCGUAUGUAGGUGGCUAUGUAAGUCAGGUGUGAAAUCCCCGGGCUCAACCUGGGAAGUGCAUUUGAAACUGCAUAGCUUGAGUAUGGAAGAGGGUAGUAGAAUUCCUGGUGUAGUGGUGAAAUACGUAGAUAUCAGGAGGAAUUCCAGUGGCGAAGGCGGCUACCUGGUCCUAUACUGACACUGAGAUACGAAAGCGUGGGGAUCAAACAGG
rnacentral:rRNA from 1 species